GACGAACGCUGGCGGCGUGCUUAACACAUGCAAGUCGAACGAAGUGGCGAACGGGUGAGUAACGCGUCAUCAACCUGCCCUUCAGAGGGGGACAACAGUUGGAAACGACUGCUCAUACCGCAUACUGAAGGAGGGGAUUGCGUCUGAUUAGGUAGUUGGAGGGGUAACGGGCCACCAAGGCGAUGAUCAGUAGCCGGUCUGAGAGGGUGAACGGCAACAUUGGGACUGAGACACGGCCCAGACUCCUACGGGAGGCAACAGGGGGGAAUCUUCCGAAAUGGACGAAAGUCUGACGGAGCAACGCCGCGGGAGUGAUGACGGCCUUCGGGUUGUAAAGCGCUGUUAAUCGGGACGCGGUACCGGAAUAGAAAGCCACGGCUAACUACGUGCCAGCAGCCGCGGUAAUUC
rnacentral:rRNA from 1 species